rnacentral:rRNA from 1 species
GACGAACGCUGGCGGCGUGCCUAAUACAUGCAAGUCGAACGCAGUUGGGACGGGUGAGUAACACGUGGGUAACCUCCCAUCAGAGGGGAUAACACUUGUAAACAGGUGCUAAACCGAUACUGAUGGAUGGACCCGCGGUGCAUUAGCUAGUUGGUGAGGUAACGGCUCACGAAGGGCACGAUGCAUAGCCGACCUGAGAGGGGGAUCGGCCACACUGGGACUGAGACACGGCCCAGACUCCUACGGGAGGCAGCAGUAGGGAAUCUUGUGCAAUGGACGAAAGUCUGACCGAGCAACGCCGCGUGAGUGAAGAAGGUUUUCGGAUCGUAAAACUCUGUUGUUAGAGAAGCGUUACCUACCCAGAAAGCAACGGCUAACUACGUGCCAGCCGCCGCGGUAAUAC